rnacentral:rRNA from 1 species
UACGUAGGGGACGAGCGUUGUCCGGAAUUACUGGGCGUAAAGGGCGCGCAGGCUGUAGAUCAAGUCAGCUGUGAAAUGUCUGGGCUUAACCCGGGCAUGCGGUUGAAACUGAUGUACUGGAGUGCUGUAGAGGCAAGUGGAAUUCCCAGUGUAGCUGUGAAAUGCGUAGAUAUUGGGAAGAACACCGGUGGCGAAGGCGACUUGCUGGGCAGCAACUGACGCUGAGGCGCGAAAGCCAGGGGAGCAAACGGGAUUA